AACGAACGCUGGCGGCGUGGAUAAGACAUGCAAGUCGAACGGGACAACAUCUGUAGCAAUACAGGUGUUGUUUAGUGGCGAACGGGUGCGUAACACGUGGGCAAUCUGCCGAGGAAGUGGGGGAUAGCUCGGCCGAAAGGCGAAUUAAUACCGCAUAUGAUCAGUGAAGACAUACUUCGACGACAUCAAAGCCGGGGCAACCUGGCGCUUCUUGAUGAGCCCGCGGCCCAUCAGCUAGUUGGUGAGGUAACGGCUCACCAAGGCUAUGACGGGUAGCUGGUCUGAGAGGACGACCAGUCACACUGGAACUGAGACACGGUCCAG
rnacentral:rRNA from 1 species